AUCCGGCAGACGAGUCCGAAAUAGGACGAAAUGCGCAUCCUGGAC
rnacentral:hammerhead_ribozyme from 1 species